rnacentral:rRNA from 1 species
AUUGAACGCUGGCGGCAGGCCUAACACAUGCAAGUCGAACGAGUGGCGGACGGGUGAGUAAUGUCUGGGAAACUGCCCGAUGGAGGGGGAUAACUACUGGAAACGGUAGCUAAUACCGCAUACCAUCGGAUGUGCCCAGAUGGGAUUAGCUAGUAGGUGGGGUAACGGCUCACCUAGGCGACGAUCCCUAGCUGGUCUGAGAGGAUGACCAGCCACACUGGAACUGAGACCCGUGCCAGCGUCGGCCGGGAGGGAGGCGUGGGGGAGAUUGCGCAAUGGGCGAAGGCUCGAUGCAGCCAUGCCGCAUGUAUGAAGAGGGCUCUCGGGUUGUGGAGUACUUUCUGCGCGGAGGCCUUACCCCCAGUAGUCGCACCGGCUCUCUCCGUGCCAGCAGCCGCGGUAAUAC